rnacentral:tRNA from 2 species
GGGUCGUUAGCUCAGCGGUAGAGCAGCGGACUUUUAAUCCGUUGGUCGAAGGUUCAAAUCCCUCACGACCCA